AUCUGAACACACACUCUUCUUCAUUGUGUAUUUCAUGUGAUUUAAUAUAAUUAAACUAUUGUUGUAUUAAUUGAUAUAAUUCAAAUCUUAAAUUUCUAAUUGGAAAAAAAGGAUGCAUUGGGGACUGUUAUUCCAGGUGAACUUAAACAGAAGUAACAGAAACCAGUGCCAGAUUUGACCGAAUUUGUGAUACUAAGGGUGUUUGGUUACUUUCUGUAUUGUCUUUGUGUGAUUUCUUACACUUGUCAGAUUUUCCUGACUUAAUUAUGAUUCAAUGUUGAACUUUACAGAUAGCCAACUGCUGGUACUGCUGUAUUAAUUUGUUAAUUUUAUUAAAACGUGUUAAAUUUCAUGGAUGCAACAGGAACGUAUUUUGUGAUAGAACAGCUAAUACUGGAGAAAUUUGCCAUGAAACUAGCAAGCAUGCCAGCUUUAUCAGAGCAGCUAGGCACAGGGGAAGGAGCCCUGUUCACACAAGACUCACUGAUUUGAGCAGGAGGUGAACAACUUUGGAGAAAAAUUGCCCCCCUCUAGCCAUGGUCAUAGUGGUAGGACUUGAGCUCAAGGUGGGUCAUGCACUGCAGGUGCCCAACAAGGUCAGCAGAGAGAGACCAUAGCCACCACUCCACCAGAGCCUGGCUGGCGCAGUGGGCUGCCACAGUCCCUCAGCACCUCUGGAGUUGUGCAGUGGGAUGUCAGGAGACGUCUUGCAAGCUCUAAAGGAUGUUAAGCUCAACACCAGCUGACAGAAAUGCCUUCCAAGGUCUUUGGUCAAAAAACAGGGGGUCUUAGGAGGUGUUAAAAGUUUUGGCCAGCAUUCUAACCUAGGGUAAUGGAAGAGUUUCUCAGAAGAAAAUACUCUGUUCCUGGUUUUUGGACUCCAAGGAAACUAGGAAAUGAAGUUGAGGCUCAGAUUUAGUAGCUGGUUAUGCCAUUUGCACAUGCAAAACCCCCAGGAAAGAACCACCAGCAAAAUGAAAACAUAAAACUGUAAAGGCAAGGGCUUUCAGUGCAAAUUUUGACUCCAGGGUGCCAAAUGAAGGUAGAAAAACACAAAAAUUACACAACUUGAAUAAUUUUUUAUCUUUAUUUCCUGAAAACUCUAGCUGACAGUCACACCUCACCUAAAUUCUGAUACGUCUUCUCUUGAUUUAUAUGCAAAACAAAUAAAAUUACUGCUUUGUUACUUGAAGGUGCUGUGUUUCUUCUCUUACUUUCAGAUAUCUUCAUUUCUAUGCUGUUGCUCAGACUCUCCUUUCCCCAUGUCACUAGUCUUGUCUUUCAAUCCUUCUGUUCUAACACUUUCUCUAAAUAAGGUUUUCUUUCAGAGUGUUUUUUUCUCUUUCUUUCUGUAUUGUCAGUGUGCAAUCUCAAUUAUACCUAGUAACUGUCAGCGUAACCUGAAAAGCUAUAGCACAGUGGACUGGAUGUCUGAGAGUCAGUGUUCUUUGCAACUGCUAAUAGCUUGAGCAGGUCUGUUUUUCAAUAUUACACAUUUUCACCCCAUUUCUAGUAAUGCAGGUAGAGCUAUCCCCCUUUCUCGGCAAAUCGUCAUGAUGUUCCAAGAGUUAUAUAGAUAGCAAACAAUGUUGGUAGCAGAAAAAGAGGAAAGAUUCCAUCAUCAGAACAAAAUGGACCUAAAGGAUUUAUAAAUGAAAGGCCAGUUAUUCUCUGGGGUGCAUGGGGGGUCACUUGCACUGUAAUCAGUCUUGAGAAUGUGAAAGCAGAGCAGGACCUUGACUGUCUGUAUCUGGACUUUGUCAGGCCAUUCAUCUGUGACCAGAAUUGUAUCGUUACUCUGGUUUUCAAUAAAGGGAUGUUCACCGAA